GUUUAUGUGAUAUACCCUUGUGGUAUACCAGUAUCUGUUCUUCUUGAUAAGAUGGUGAAAGAUCAUUAAUUCCAGCUUUUUGUUUUCUUGUUACUUUUAGGGAUCGUUUGGUAUAGUGUGUUUAUAAAAAUAAUGCAUGUAUUAUUUUUAUGUAUUAUUACCUUAUUUUUUGCAUCUUGUCUUCUACCGAAAUUACUCCCAUCUUAUUUCGAAUUUUCCCUCAAAAUUUUAGAAUUCAAUAAAAUAACCUACUUCUCUUUUUUCUUAAAAAAAUAGGUCAGAUCUCUUUCUCUUAUCCCCUUUCUUUGUUCCUUGUUGUCUGCCACCGCCCCCACCCCCACCCCCGACUUCCGUGGUCCAUCGUCCCCUUCCUUCCCCUUCACCCCUUGCUUUUGAAUUUUUUAUAUACGAUGUUUUGCUAAUUAACUUCUUUCUUUUUGUAGAUUUUGUAAUAUGAAAUUCUCCAAUAAGAUGAGAUGAGUUUUUACAACAUAACUAUUGCAUUGAAUUUCGUAUAUAUAUAUUUUGAUGUAAAGGUUAUUUUAUAGACUGUAGGCAGAUGAAGUACAACUUUUUCAAGCAGAAUAUGGAGGCGGCUCCCUCCAAUCCCACCGCCCCUUCCGCCGCGAGCAACCAGAAUCCACUAAGAGUUGAAUGGCUGACAGUAGAUAGACCACUAGAUCUUGCAGAGCAGGAAGCCAUCUAUUAGGCGUGUAGAUUCUUCAAGUUUGGAUUUUUACUACUUCCUUGGCUUUGGGCUGUCAAUUGCUUAUAGUUUUGUCAGGUCAGCAAUUGGUUUCACGGUGUUUGUUAUUAUCCUCUCAACUCGGGCUCUUACCUGUUCCAUUGGACGAGAGCGUCUAUUUGGUCAAUGCUUGGGACAAGCUAGUAAUGUACAACAGUACUGAGAAAUAUGGGUUGGCGGGUGGAUCUAGAUACAUUGAUGGAAACAAAACAUGAAGGACAACAAGUGGUUUGGAGUUGAAGACUGCGGAGGAAAAGAUAGAAAAAGAUUAUGUUGCUUUUGGACUAAUUAUAAUUUUUAAAAUUGUAAAAUGCAAUUAUAUAUAACUUAAUAAUUGUUUUGGAAUCUCAAAAAUAGAUUUCUAGCUACAUUAUGUAACUUUUGUGACUUAUCAAGGUUGUGGAGAAUUCUUUAAUUUAUUGCAUUAGAAUUAUUGAGA